GAAACGCUAAUUCGGACAAAGCCGACAAUCUUUACGUGGCGUCGUGAACUCAAAAAGUAAUUUUCCUUUCUUCACAAUCGAGCACUCCAGUUCUGAAAGACCGCCGCCGCGCACGGGGGCAAUCUGUCAUUUCCUUCCAGAAGCUAAGGCGCCGGAAGCUCUGUUAUCCUCUGACAAUAACAAACUCGUAUAAAUUCCCAAAUAAAAGAGAACCCUAACCUUUGAUUAUUUUUGUUCUUCACAAGAAUAUAUAUAUAUAGUGAUGGGUAUUAUAAGGAGCAGUUUCUCGUUCAUUUCUGGAACAGUAUUUGGAAUUUACAUUGCCCAGAAUUAUAAUGUUCCCAACAUCAAGAAGGUUGUAAAUGAGGCCCUUUUCUCUGCAAAAAAAGUGGAAGAAAAAUACCGCAAGCCGAAGAAGCCUGGAGACGAUGCCGUUUGAUUAUUACUCUCGACGAUUUCAGUCUGCCAUCUGUGAGCUACAAUCAGUUGAGGUUCAGAUGCCCAAAGCUUAUCCAUUAACACGAGACCUUAAUGCCAGAUUAUUCCAUAUCAAAACUAUUCUUCUGUUUUUGGUAGAUGCCUUUUAGCGCGAAAGAUGAGAUCAACAAAGAGAGAGGUCUUGUGGACAUUUUGCGGCCAGAGGCUCCAUCUUUUAGGACCCCAAAAUUGGUGAGAUUUUGCAUCGACCUAAAGAGUCUCCCUUAUACAAGAGUUGUAGGAUUUUGGUAAAUAAAUUCGAAGAGAGAGGCAUCAAUCUUAAUAUUGCUACUUUUAGUUACUAAGAAUGUAAUUGCUUUAUAUCAUUUUCAAGUCAACAUUUAGAGAUUGUUUCAGGUUGAAAUGCUUGUAAAUCAACCUAAUUUAGGACUGAUCUGCAGUGUGCACUUUCACAAGUAUGCAUACACGUGUUCACAUUUGCUUGCAUGUUUUACUUUGUACACACAAACCAUAGGUGUAGGAUUAGAUAAGAUAAUUAAAAAACGAUUGAUAUGUGCAAACGAGAAGUCUAGGAUUAGAUAAGAAAAUUGGAAAAUGAUUGAUGUUAUUUCAAUCUUGUGAUGAUAAUAAAGAGUAAAGCUACUUAGUGUCACCUAGAUUGGGUUUGGCCUAAGUAGCGUUAUUGAAAAA